CUGGGAUGAACAGAGGGUGAGACUGGCUGGCGAUGCUGAUAUUACCAGGGACAGGAAUCCUGCUUUGACUUGUGAGUAAUCUUGGGGAUGCUGAAUCAUGAAGGAGGAAGGAAGCUGAAAAGAAUGGGUGAGGGGUACCCAGGACCUGACAGGUCAAGUAGAAGAGAAUACUGGGAGGGAAUGAAGAGGUAAUGUACUAUCUACUGGAGAACUGGGAAGAUGGACACGAUAUUUUAUUUGCAAGUAUGAAGAGACCUUCCUAUUCCAAGGGAACGUC
rnacentral:lncRNA from 1 species